rnacentral:lncRNA from 1 species
CAACAACAACAAUAAUGAAAGAAACCAUAUAUAAGGGUCACAAUAAAACGUGUAUACGAUUGAAAAUAAAAGGAACACGUUUAUCCAACCGUAGACAUUUUAUAAAGUUACCCCUUUCACAUCGAACAGCGUUAUUUCAAGCAAUGAACAAAGAUUGGAACACAGAAAAGAACAAAAUUAAUGUACCUUCUUUACGGCUCUCCUCGAAGUUUACGCUGCGUUCGAAAUUUGAACCUUCCAUUGUACAUGGUCUCUUUCCUUAACCUUUUAUUUUAUUGUCAACCACGCAGAAUGAGAAACAAUAACGUCGAGAGACAACUACACAAUGCUACGUACAAUAUGUAUAUACAUAAAGGAAAAAAAAUAAAA